rnacentral:rRNA from 1 species
UACCAGCACCCCGAGUGGUCGGGACGAUUAUUGGGCCUAAAGCAUCCGUAGCCGGUCCUGCAAGUCUUCCGUUAAAUCCAGCUGCUCAACAGAUGGGCUGCGGGGGAUACUACAGGGCUAGGAGGCGGGAGAGGCAAGCGGUACUUUAUGGGUAGGGGUAAAAUCCGUUGAUCCAUAGAAGACCACCAGUGGCGAAGGCGGCUUGCCAGAACGCGCUCGACGGUGAGGGAUGAAAGCUGGGGGAGCAAACCGG